rnacentral:rRNA from 1 species
UACGUAGGGGGCAAGCGUUGUCCGGAUUUAUUGGGCGUAAAGCGCACGUAGGCGGUCUUUUAAGUCGGGGGUGAAAUCCUGGAGCUCAACUCCAGAACUGCCUUCGAUACUGGAAGACUUGAGUCCGGGAGAGGUGAGUGGAACUGCGAGUGUAGAGGUGAAAUUCGUAGAUAUUCGCAAGAACACCAGUGGCGAAGGCGGCUCACUGGCCCGGUACUGACGCUGAGGUGCGAAAGCGUGGGGAGCAAACAGG